rnacentral:rRNA from 1 species
AGUGAACGCUGGCGGUAGGCCUAACACAUGCAAGUCGAACGGCAGCACAGUAAGAGCUUGCUCUUACGGGUUGCGAGUGGCGGACGUGUGAGGAAUACAUCGGACUCUACUUUUUCGUGGGGGAUAACGUAGGGAAACUUACGCUAAUACCGCAUACGACCUACGGUUGAAAGCAGUGGAUCUUCGGACCUUGCGCGAUUGAAUGAGCCGAUGUCGGAUUAGCUAGUUGGCGGGGUAAAGGCCCACCAAGGCGACGAUCCGUAGCUGGUCUGAGAGGAUGAUCGGCGACACUGGAACUGAGACACGGACCAGACUCCUACGGGAGGCAGCAGUGGGGAAUGUUGGACAAUGGGCGCAAGCAUGAUCCAGCCAUACCGCGUGGGUGAAGAAGGCCUUCGGGUUGUAAAGCCCUUUUGUGGGGAAAGAAAAGCAGCAGGUUAAUACCCCGCUGUUCUGACGGUACCCAAAGAAUAAGCACCGGCUAACUUCGUG